CGCCUUCCCCGAGGGGCGGCCGGGGCCGGCGUGUGUCCCCCGCUGCGGGCGCGGCCCCGUUGCACCUGUGUGAGGUGAAGGUGAAGGUGAAGAGAGCGGACAUGACCGCCAGGUGAGACGUCGAGGAGUUUAUCUCGAGGACGUGUUGCGGCUGUCACGGAUUACACUUCUUCCCGGUAUAGGCCGUCCUGUCCUGCACUGUAUUUUCAGUCCUGACCCUGAACCUUCCCACGUUUUCAGGAAGUAAUACAAAAGAUAUUUGAGCAAGCAGAAAAGUGCAGAAGUUUUACGUUUCAUGCUGAAGCCUCACCCUUUGCACCAUCCUCAUUUUCUUGCAAUAUUUUGGCAUACAAAAUAAUCUGUCGGCACUGAUGGCACUAAGUCUCUCAAAACGCACCUUUCCAAAGGCAUUGUGUCUGACAGGAGGAGAAUGCAAGCAAGUUUUAUUGCAAUAAAAUGUAUAUACACAUUAAA